GCUGGCUAUGGUGGUGCACACCUGUAAUCCCAGCACCUUGGGAGGCUGAGGCAGGAGGAUCGAAAGUUCAAAGCCAGCCUCAGCAACUUAGUGAGGCCCUAAGCAACUAGGUGAGACCCUGUCUCUA
rnacentral:sRNA from 1 species